AUUUAGCAAAAAUGUGCGUUAGGGAUUGAAGUGGAAAUCCUUUUUUAUUUGUUUUUCACAAAUAAAAAAGAUUGCAACGUAAAGCCCGACCUUUA
rnacentral:sRNA from 1 species